rnacentral:lncRNA from 1 species
GCCUCGGCGAGCAAGGGGCGGACGUCCGGCCCGUAGUCGCGGUGACCAAAGUUUCUACAGAGGGGAGAGUGCAACAAAACAGCUUGUUUUCCUAAAAUUCAGAGGCUGAGCUAAUCUGGACCCCACGAGAUCGCAAACUGUCUUCGGGAUAGACCAGGGUCUCGGCUUGGCGUCACCAUCUGUGAAUCCAUUUGGUCCACACACCCACUGUAUGAAUACACAUUUCCAAACCAAAGCAGCUUUGGGAAAAGAAAAAAAACAAAAAAAACAAAAAAACAACAACAACAAUAACAAACUGAUAGAAUGGGCAAACAAGGAUUCUCAGACACUGUAAACAGAAAUCAUCCAUGCACCAUUGUGAAGGAUCCACUGUCUACAUGUGGGAGUUGUCUGCUUUACCACACUGUGGCAAGGAAAUGGCCUCCUAAGCAAAGAACAAAUGACUGUGGUUCCUGAGCAAGAAGCUCCUUCCUCCUUCAAGUAUGUCCUAAAGCAUAAAUGAACGGGAACAGAAACUUUAGGCACUGUUAUAUACAUUUUUUUUAAAAGUCUUAACAAUGUAAACUGAUGCAGACAGGCCUGUGCCUUGGUGACUGUCUACCUGAGAUAAAGGCAGCAGGCAGCAGGAGGCUGAUGGAGGAUUAGGUGUGUAUGUGUGCAGACCUAUAGAACCCACUGAGGAAGCAGCUGGGUCCCGGUGUCUCCCCAGUCCUGUGUGCUGGCUCAGGCGGCUGACUUCUCUCUCAUCCCUCUUUUGGUUACUAUCUGUUCUCCACUUGUGGUCCUUGGAGGCAGACAUCUUCAGUCACUUGACACAUCAACUCUCCUAAUCACUGUGUUUCCAAUGAGUAGAUAUAAGGUGAUAACCAUUUCUGAGUAUUGAUUUCCUUUGAUGAAGACUCAACUUCACAGAUUAAAGAUGUCUGUGGCUCAAAGAACAUUUUCCCACUGCUCCUACAUUAAACAAUGUAUUAAUAACUGGGUGGAGAUGAGAAAAAUGUUGAAAGCUUUUGAAAAACUUGAACUUAGAAACAGAAAAACUAGAAAUGGCCCCGAAAACCAAAAGAUCUCAUUAUCAUAAAGGAGAAAACCCUUUCAUUCUCAGGCAUGCAGGCAAUGGGC